rnacentral:rRNA from 1 species
CCUACGGGAGGCAGCAGUGAGGAAUAUUGGUCAAUGGGCGGAAGCCUGAACCAGCCAAGUAGCGUGCAGGAUGACGGCCCUACGGGUUGUAAACUGCUUUUAUACGGGAAUAACGCGCCGUACGUGUAGGGCUUUGCAUGUACCGUAUGAAUAAGGACCGGCUAAUUCCGUGCCAGCAGCCGCGGUACUACGGAAGGUCCGGGCGUUAUCCGGAUUUAUUGGGUUGAAAGGGAGCGUAGGCCGCAUGGCAAGCGUGCUGUGUAAUUUCCGGGCUCAACCCGGGCCUUGCAGCGCUAACUGGCGUUCUUGAUUCCGCGGCAACCAGGCGGAAUUCGUCGUGUAGCGGU